rnacentral:tRNA from 1 species
GGGAGUGUGGCGGAAUAGGUAGACGCACCAGACUUAAAAUCUGUUGAGCAUGUGCUCGUGGGAGUUCAAGUCUCCCUACUCCUA